UUGUCAGGCUGUAUGUCAGUGUCAUUACUCUAGCGUUUAUAUUGUAACAAGUUACGAAAAUAAGUCUCGAGUCUCACCUCGAGACUUUUCUCGAAUUUUCCUGUCCUGUCAGACGUCAUACUGUGCUCGAGGGUAUGCACGUGACGUCGACGUCGACCGUUACGACUGCGUCACACCCACUGAGUGGCAAAAGACCGAGCGCGGCAGCAUUGGUUUUCAGCGUGAAUGUCGCGAAAAACACACAAAACACAUCCAAAACGGAAAAGAGCUUUGCGACUGACUGACUAUAUUUAAAGAGUGCCGAAAGCUACAGAAGAAAGAAGCAAAUGGAUCACUGCAAUUCACAGAAACAGCUGGACUCCAGGCAGAGAAACAUGGAUUUGGAGUUAUCAUUUUGUGUGGAAUUGUUGGAUUUUGAGGAACAAAAAAUUGGGUCAUGGCCAAUGGGGAAAUUUGGGUCCCAGGGUCGAACCAGUUGAGAACCACUGCUUUGAACCGUAAUAGGAUUGAGUGAUUCAGAGAAGAGAACAUGUCUUCAGAUGGUCUCAUUGUGUUCAUAAAGAAGUUUGGAACAUCAUGAGGGGUUGACUGCAGUGGUUUCCAGAGCAGGCACAGCUUUUUCUCUGAAGGGAUUUACAGUGAACUGCAGGUGUCGUGGCCCUGUGGACUGUAUGGUACCAUUGUGAGAGGAACAAUGGCGCAGAAGGCUUGGGAACCACUGCUUUGCUUUGUUCUCGGCUAUUGUCUGUUUCCAGGAUGUCCUUCAGGAAAAUGACAAAAAAGGGGCAGUCAGACAUUCCAAACACAGACCAAAGCUGUACAGCAAUAUUGCCACAAGGAAGAGACUCGACCCAGUGUACCCAAAACAAAGACUGGAGCAGCUAACCAAGAGCUUCAACUACCCAGGGCCGAUGAGUUCACUUCAGUGCCGUGGAGCUGUGUACAUACAAACGGUUAAUGUGUGGUGUCACACACAUAUACACACCAAACCUGGCAGAGUGUGUCUAUUUGCAGUGGCGAGGGAGCGCUGACGUGUGUGACACCAGCGUGUGAAGGCCAGUAGGGUGAUUGUGGCCAUUCCAGUAAAGUGCGUACGACUUUGGGAAGAUGAAAGUCGUACAGGUUUGGAACGACUGAGGCAUGUCACAUCUGAAGAACAUAUUAGCAUCAAACAGCUUUACUCAGAUCUGUUACCCAGAUUUCAGCUGGCCCCGAAGAAGUUGAUUUGCAGUUUUUUCUUCAGUAUUGGAACAUGUGGAAGCACAUCUCUUUCCCAGUCACGUCGGUGCAGAGUGGAGAUGUGGCUUUUGGCUGUGAUUCAGACCUUUGGCAGAUGCAGUUGACGUUGUCACUUAGGUCAAGUUCUUCAGGCGUACUUCCCUCCAAUUGAGAAUGGACACCAGCCGGGUGGGAACAAUGAGCCCAAGCGGUCACCAGCACGUUCUUUCUGGGAAUAACUGCCAAGGAGAGCUGCUAGAAGGGGGAUUACAGCCAAUCCAAGUUCUUUUUUCAGUUUGAACCACAGCCUCCUGUUUUUAGUGACCAAUUACAUUGAGGCGGGAUCAGCACAUGUCCAAGCUGCCUUUCAUAGACUCUCUACCGCCUGCCUGCUUGGCCUCGCAUGUGAGGACAUGCUGAACAAACACCACUCUAUGCCCAAUUAUAAGGCCGCCUCUAUUAAAGGAUGCUUCUGAAUCAUAUAAGAAAAGACCUCUAGUUCUUUAAAAUCCCACUCAUGUCAUCAUCAGGGAUCCUGGAUGCUUUUGAACGAUACAUUUGGAGUUGUAAGUAGUGAAGUCAUGGGGACAGAGUAUUAAUUGUUCCUGGUCAGUCACCGCAAUUACAGUCAGGCUUGUUAGCAAAGCGGUCCUCUUUUUUUAUUGUGCAGAAAUGUUGCCCUAUUGUUCAUCUCCAUGCUCCAGAAAUUUCUGAUCAGUGUAGAUGAAUAAGCACAGACCAGCUCUCGCUCGCUAUUGAUUGUCGCAUAAGCCAAAGGCAGUUAAAAAUAAAUCCCUGGUGAACCAAAUGAGGUGCAAUUUGUUUGUUUCUCUUUAAGCUUGUAAAGUGGAACCAUGUGAAGCAGACUUAUAUCUCUGAAGACUUUGCAAAUAAUUGAAAGUCUCAAUUCCUGGUUACCACGUUUCAAACAUAAUUACAUGUUGCAGGCAUAGUUUGUUUUGUCUGAUGUGGUUCUUUCAUUUGCUUGCUGCUGUUUUCAGCCCCGAAAUCAGCAUCAAUAAAUUGAGUUUUUCAUGUUUUAUUUAUUUACCCAACAUAAUGCCAUGGCAUAAAACUACAGACUGAACAAAAGCAAUCUUUAAUACCUUACAUAAAUUGCAACACACUCUUGAAAUGCAUGAAUGCACUUCUGUAUAUGCUUUGCCAAAGAGUCAUUUGGUAGUGAUACAAAGCUGCCAUGCCAGUAUUUGUACUGAGAGAACCAUUAGAGAGUGAAAUGCAGCACACAGAAUAGCUUUCUGAUUUGGUGCUUGGGCAGAAAUUGUGUGAUCAGGUGGUCAGAGCUGACAGUAGUUGGGAUGUAAUGAUGCAGAAGACCUGGGGUGAAGCAUUCUCCUCGUGACGAGCAAUGCACAAUAGCACACACUAACCCACUCAGACAACAUGACUCCUUGCUAAAUCACCCAAUGCUUUAGAUGUAUAUAUCUGUAUGGCUACAUUUGAACAACACAUUCUAAAUGAUGGAUGAAGGAUAGACUCAUAUCCCUCAUGAUUCAUAAAUGUAAAAGUGAAUUCACAAUUAAAUGAAAUAGAGUACAAAAAUGGUGAAUAAAUAAAACUUUAUAAUAGAUUCGAAUAGUGAAAUGAAGUGGAAAAACAGCAUUUAUUUGAAGUAGAAAUCUUUUGUAACAAUGUUUUGUAACAUUAACAAUGUCUUUAUCACGGUUUCUACAAAAAAAAUAUUAAGCUGCAAAAAAACUGUUUUCAACAUUGAGGAUAAUAAGAUGUUUUUGUGGCACCAGAUCAGCAUAUAUGAUAUAUGAUUAUCCAUACAGUGAAAUUCAAUAGGGUUUGAUGUUGUUUUGGGUCCAAUUGACUUUAAUUGUAUGGACAAAAGCAUCUUGACAAAUAUCUUUUUUGUGUGUUUUCAGCAAACUCAUACAGGUUUGGAAAUGCAUGAGGGUGAGUAAAUGACAGAAUAUAUGUAGGGGUUACAUGUAGAAUUCAAAAACCGUUGUUAUUAGCGACACCGGUGGCUAUUAAGUGAACUGCAGCCAGCAACUUAUUGUACACACGUAACAUACAAGAGACUGGACUUGAUUCAAUGCCUCUACACUCUUGACGAAGUUCUUUUUCGUUCUGUUCUUAGUAGUAAAAAGAAGUCGGAAAUACCUUUGCAGCGAUAUACUUUUAACAAACAUUUCGAUGCCAUCCACGCUGCUGAGAGUGACAUCAAAGACUAUAGAUAUAGAAAGACGGUCCACUCCUAUUAGUUAUGAAUGGGAGAAACUCCAACGUGCAAUAUGGCAGAAUACUUCCCGCCUUCUAAGUAAAAUAGCCAAUCGCUGAUUGAUAUAGUCAUUGCGUCUCUGCAGCUGCUAUUAGAAGUUCCGGUUCUCAUAGAAACCUGAGACUCGCACUUAGGACUGCAUUGGCUCAUCUAGCCUGAAAAAUAAGCUUUUUUAAAUGCUAUUUGAGCAUAAGAAACAACAUUUAUAGGACAGUUCAUGUCAGAUUUUUUUGCUGAUUUGAAAUGUUAUUGUGCAUUCGCCAAGCAGUUUUUGAGAUUUCAGGAUUCCCCCAUUCAAAUAGAUGCCCAAAAUAGCUGCCCGAAGGCAUUGCAAAUAUGGCCGCCGAGUGAACAGACUUUCCUUGAAAGGUUCAAUGAAUAGGCCUAUGUAAAUAUGUGAUGCGCACAUUCCUUGAUAUCAAAAUAAACACAAUGAAAAUGACAGUGGUGAGAAAGCAACAGUUAAGAAAGCAUCUGAUCAUAGCGAUGUGGAUUUGUUUGCAUGAGCUCUGCAAUUCACUGGCAUCAUGUUGACAGAUUUAAUUAAAAUGACACUGUUAUGACAGAUUAUAGAGUAUUUAUUGAAACUAUUGCUCUUUGUAUGACAGAUUGGCAUUAAAGUACAGAAUAGCUGUUUCGACAUUAUCCUGAAUAUUGUAUAAGCAUUUGUUUCAUGCAUUGUAGAACAGAAGAGAGGCUAUCAAACUUCACAUCCUUUUCAUUUUCCUGGCAAAAAUGUCCCAAGCACUUCACAUAAAAACACAUAGCCGC